UACGUAGGGGGCAAGCGUUGUCCGGAAUUACUGGGCGUAAAGCGCGUGUAGGCGGCUUUGCAAGUCGGAUGUGAAAGCCCACGGCUCAACCGUGGAAGUGCAUCCGAAACUGCAUGGCUUGAGUCUCGGAGAGGAAGGUGGAAUGCUUGGUGUAGAGGUGAAAUUCGUAGAUAUCAAGCAGAACACCUGCGGCGAAGGCGGCCUUCUGGACGAUGACUGACGCUGAGACGCGAAGCGUGGGGAGCAAACAGG
rnacentral:rRNA from 1 species